rnacentral:tRNA from 1 species
GCCUGGGUGGCUCAGUCAGUUAAGUGCCUGACUUCAGCUCAGGUCAUGAUUUUGUGGUUUGUGGGUUCAAGCCCCACAUCGGGUU